rnacentral:rRNA from 1 species
AUUGAACGCUGGCGGCAGGCCUAACACAUGCAAGUCGAACGAAGUCUUCGGACUUAGUGGCGGACGGGUGAGUAACACGUGGGAACGUACCUUUUGGUUCGGAACAACUCAGGGAAACUUGAGCUAAUACCGGAUGAGCCCUUAGGGGGAAAGAUUUAUCGCCGAAAGAGCGGCCCGCGUUAGAUUAGCUAGUUGGUGAGGUAAAGGCUCACCAAGGCUACGAUCUAUAGCUGGUCUGAGAGGAUGAUCAGCCACACUGGGACUGAGACACGGCCCAGACUUCUACGGGAGGCAGCAGUGGGGAAUCUUGCGCAAUGGGCGAAAGCCUGACGCAGCCAUGCCGCGUGAAUGAUGAAGGUCUUAGGAUUGUAAAAUUCUUUUACCAGGGACGAUAAUGACGGUACCUGGAGAAAAAGCCCCGGCUAACUUCGUGCCAGCCGCCGCAGUAAAAC